GUGCUCGCUUCAGCAGCACAUAUACUAAAAUUGGAGCAAUAUAGAGAAGAUUAGCAUGGCCCCUGUGCAAGGAUGACACGCAAAUUCGUGAAGCAUUUCUUCCAUAUUUUU